rnacentral:rRNA from 1 species
ACUUACGGCAACACCGGCCUGAGUACGCCUGAUCUUGUCCGAUCUCAGAAGCUAAGCAGGGUCGGGCCUGGUUAGUACUUGGAUGGGAGACCGCCUGGGAAUACCAGGUGCUGUAAGCU